CGGGUGAGUAACACGUGGGUAACCUGCCCAUCAGAAGGGGAUAACACUUGGAAACAGGUGCUAAUACCGUAUAACAAUCAAAACCGCAUGGUUUUGAUUUGAAAGGCGCUUUCGGGUGUCGCUGAUGGAUGGACCCGCGGUGCAUUAGCUAGUUGGUGAGGUAACGGCUCACCAAGGCCACGAUGCAUAGCCGACCUGAGAGGGUGAUCGGCCACAUUGGGACUGAGACACGGCCCAAACUCCUACGGGAGGCAGCAGUAGGGAAUCUUCGGCAAUGGACGAAAGUCUGACCGAGCAACGCCGCGUGAGUGAAGAAGGUUUUCGGAUCGUAAAACUCUGUUGUUAGAGAAGAACAAGGAUGAGAGUAACUGUUCAUCCCUUGACGGUAUCUAACCAGAAAGCCACGGCUAACUACGUGCCAGCAGCCGCGGUAAUACGUAGGUGGCAAGCGUUGUCCGGAUUUAUUGGGCGUAAAGCGAGCGCAGGCGGUUUCUUAAGUCUGAUGUGAAAGCCCCCGGCUCAACCGGGGAGGGUCAUUGGAAACUGGGAGACUUGAGUGCAGAAGAGGAGAGUGGAAUUCCAUGUGUAGCGGUGAAAUGCGUAGAUAUAUGGAGGAACACCAGUGGCGAAGGCGGCUCUCUGGUCUGUAACUGACGCUGAGGCUCGAAAGCGUGGGGAGCAAACAGGAUUAGAUACCCUGGUAGUCCACGCCGUAAACGAUGAGUGCUAAGUGUUGGAGGGUUUCCGCCCUUCAGUGCUGCAGCUAACGCAUUAAGCACUCCGCCUGGGGAGUACGACCGCANGGUUGAAACUCAAAGGAAUUGA
rnacentral:rRNA from 1 species